CAUACAUGUUAACCUAUUGUGAUGAAAAAUAGGGAGAUUCAGACCUCAAAAGCGGUAGCAUUGCGCGCGCGUUGUUUAACGCUUGGAUUAUCGAUAUCUUUCAUGUAAUAUACAUGUAUAUUAUAAGCCUUAAAUGAAAUCAGGUACCUACACUAAUUAAUCUUAAAUAUCAACAGCAAAGAAGAAGACAGAAACACCUUAAGUUUGACAUAAGUUGUACAAAUUCAAAUAUUUUUCAUGCUCAUCAUUUUGCUUGGAUUGGCUGCUUUACUUAGCCUUUACCUUUUGAAGAGUGAUCUUUGCUGAUAUAGCCUAGAAGCAAUAAUUCUGAAUGUUCAUUCAGUUUUUAAACAAAACAAAUGAUGACAUGGUUUAAUCUAGAUCUAAAACAAGUUCCUAUCUUUCGUUAUAUAAAUCAGAUUUCCCGCGAUGAUCGAAAACGAAAGUAGAGAUGUGCCA